AGCUCUUCUAGCGUAUAUCGAAGUUGAUGCAGUUAAAACGCUCGUAGUCGGAGAUGUUCGGAUAGAGGAUGAAAUAGUUUUCAGGUCGAAAGAUUUGGAGGCGACUCUACCGAUUCACUGGAUUGUGCAUGUGUGUGGGUUCGCCUGCAAUUACUGCCUUUCCACAUUUACUUUGAGGAAAUUGGAGUGUUCAUAGCAGUCGUCUUGACUGAACAGUUUAGCAUGGGAUAAUAGAAUAUGGCAAGCAGUCGUUUCUAUGGUUCUCAAUGGCAAUCUUUGCAAUGAUCAAUGGGAGUGGAUGGGGCCGCCGCUAUUGUGGAGCUAGAGGUGAAAUUCUAUGAUUUCCGCAGGAGCAACAAAUGCGAAAGCAUCCGGCCAGUACAUGUCCG
rnacentral:rRNA from 1 species